GCCAGGCGUGGUGGCUCACACCUGUAAUCCCAGCACUUUGGGAGGCCGAGGUGGGUGGAUCACCUGAGGUCAGGAGUUCAAGACCAGCCUGACCAACAUGGUGAAACCCCAUCUCUA
rnacentral:sRNA from 1 species